rnacentral:rRNA from 1 species
UACGUAGGUGGCAAGCGUUGUCCGGAUUUAUUGGGUUUAAAGGGUGCGUAGGUGGGUCUGUAAGUCAGUGGUGAAAUCUCCGGGCUUAACCCGUAAACUGCCAUUGAUACUACAGGUCUUGAAUUUUCCGGAGGUAAGCGGAAUAUGUCAUGUAGCGGUGAAAUGCUUAGAUAUGACAUAGAACACCAAUUGCGAAGGCAGCUUACUACAGGAACAUUGACACUGAGGCACGAAAGCGUGGGGAUCAAACAGG